AGCAGCCGCGGUAAUUCCAGCUCCAAUAGCGUAUAUUAAAGUUGUUGCAGUUAAAAAGCUCGUAGUUGAAUUUCGGGGUUAGUACGCUGGUCGGGCUUUGUCUGUACUGGCGUGUAGAAUUUCUACCUUCUGGGGAACCAUCAUGUUAUUAAUUUAGCGUGGUGGGAAACCAGGACCUUUACCUUGAAAAAAUUAGAGUGUUCAAAGCAGGCUUAUGUCUGAAUACAUUAGCAUGGAAUAAUAGAAUAGGACGGUGGUCCUGUUUUGUUGGUUUCUGAAUCACCGUAAUGAUUAAUAGGGAUAGUUGGGGGCAUUAGUAUUCAAUUGUCAGAGGUGAAAUUCUUGGAUUUAUUGAAGACUAACUUCUGCGAAAGCAUUUGCCAAGGAUGUUUCAUUAAUCAAGAACGAAAGUUAGGGAUCGAAGACGAUCAGAUACCGUCGUAGUUUUAACCAUUAAGCUAUGCCGACUAGGGAUCGGGACGUAUGUUAACUUUUCUUGGACUCGUUUCGGCGUCCUUAC
rnacentral:rRNA from 1 species